rnacentral:rRNA from 1 species
AGACCGAUAGCGAACAAGUAGAGUGAUCGAAAGAUGAAAAGCACUUUGGAAAGAGAGUUAAACAGUACGUGAAAUUGUUGAAAGGGAAGCGCUUGCAACCAGACUCGCAGGCCGUCGAUCAUCCGGGGUUCUCCCCGGUGCACUCGGCGGUUUUCGGGCCAGCAUCGGUUUGGGUGGUGGGAUAAAGGCCUUGGGAAUGUAGCUUCUUUCGGGGAGUGUUAUAGCCCUCGGUGCAAUGCCGCCUACCCGGACCGAGGACCGCGCUUCGGCUAGGAUGCUGGCGUAAUGGUUGUAAGCGACCCGUCUUGAAACACGGACCAAG